rnacentral:rRNA from 1 species
AUUGAACGCUGGCGGCAGGCCUAACACAUGCAAGUCGAACGGUAACAGGGAUCAGCUUGCUGAUUCUCUGACGAGUGGCGGACGGGUGAGUAAUGUCUGGGAAACUGCCUGAUGGAGGGGGAUAACUACUGGAAACGGUAGCUACUACCUCAUAACGUCGCAAGCCCAAAGAGGGGGACCUUCGGUCCUCUUGCCAUCGGAUGCGCCCAGCUGGGCUUCGCUAGUAGGUGGGGUAACGGCUCACCUAGGCGACGAUCCCUAGCUGGUCUGAGAGGAUGACCAGCGACACUGGAACUGAGACAGGGUCCAGACUACUAAGGGAGGGAGCAGUGGGGAAUAUUGCGCAGUGGGCGCAAGCAUGAUGCAGCCAGGCCGCGUGUAUGAAGAAGGCCUUCGGGUUGUAAAGUACGUUCAGGGGGGAGGAAGGGAGUAAAGUUAAGACCUAUGCUCAUUGACGUUACCGGCAGAAGAAGCACCGGCUAACUACGUG